CGACUUAGCUCAGUAGGUAGAGCAACUGACUUGUAAUCAGUAGGUCACCAGUUCGACUCCGGUAGUCGGCA
rnacentral:tRNA from 1 species